rnacentral:rRNA from 1 species
CGAGUGGCGGACGGGUGAGUAAUGUCUGGGAAACUGCCUGAUGGAGGGGGGAUAACUACUGGAAACGGUAGCUAAUACCGCAUAACGUCGCAAGACCAAAGAGGGGGACCUUCGGGCCUCUUGCCAUCGGAUGUGCCCAGAUGGGAUUAGCUAGUAGGUGGGGUAACGGCUCACCUAGGCGACGAUCCCUAGCUGGUCUGAGAGGAUGACCAGCCACACUGGAACUGAGACACGGUCCAGACUCCUACGGGAGGCAGCAUG